rnacentral:rRNA from 1 species
CCUACGGGGGGCAGCAGUAGGGAAUUUUCGGCAAUGGGGGGAACCCUGACCGAGCAACGCCGCGUGAACGAAGAAGUUAUUCGUAAUGUAAAGUUCUUUUAACAGGGAAGAAAGAGAAAUUUGACGGUACCUGAAGAAUAAGCUCCGGCUAACUACGUGCCAGCAGCCGCGGUAAUACGUAGGGAGCGAGCGUUAUGUGGAAUUAUUGGGGGUAAAGGGUGCGUAGAUGGCAUAGUAAGUCUUUUGUAAAAAGGCUGGGCUCAACCCAGUAGGGCAAAAGAUACUGCAAAGCUAGAGUAUGACAGAGGCAAGUGGAACUACAUGUGUAGCGGUAAAAUGCGUAAAUAGAUGUAAGAACACCAGUGGCGAAGGCGGCUUGCUGGGUCGAUACUGACAUUGAGGCACGAAAGCGUGGGGAGCAAACAGGAUUAGAUACCCUUGUAGUC